AGCUCUGUGGUCUGCCACCGCGCUACCGUGCGCAACACUGCGGAGUGUGUCGGUGGUGGUCGCUGUGGAGUGGAGCUAGGCCCGUGUGAUCGGUGCAUUUGAUGGCGGUAUGCGCCGAGAGCCGCGUCACAGUGUGCGUCGAUGUCUGCCUGAUGCAGUGGACCGUUGAAGGGUCUUUGCGGACGGGCGGAAACCUGCAUUCGACCGAGGCGUAUCACUGAUGCGGUGAACAGCCGUGUACAGCAGUCCCCACCCGCGUCUUGCCAUCGUCGGACUGACCCUGUGGCGGUGCGCACUGCGUGCCUGUUCGGUGUGCAGUGCGUCCGGUUCGGGUCUGGCCACGGUGGCCGGUUUACGCGUUGGGACUGUGUCUCGGUGUGAGUGUCGAUCACCUAUUCGACCCGUCUUGAAACACGGACCAAGGAGGCUAGCAUACGCGCAAGCUAUUGGGUGGUAAACCCGUAGAGAGCGCAAUGAAAGUGAAAUCGGCCGGUUGGACGGUCGCAAACUGUGAGCCAGACGACUCCGUCGGGCGCAACAGUGCCCCGUCUCGGUUGCCGUUGGCAACGGGGCGGAGGUAGAGCGCGUAUGCUGGGACCCGAAAGAUGGUGAACUAUGCCUGAGCAGGAUGAAGCCAGAGGAAACUCUGGUGGAGGUCCGAAGCAAUUCUGACGUGCAAAUCGAUCGU
rnacentral:rRNA from 1 species